UACGUAGGGUGCAAGCGUUAAUCGGAAUUACUGGGCGUAAAGCGUGCGCAGGCGGUUGUGCAAGACCGAUGUGAAAUCCCCGGGCUUAACCUGGGAAUGGCAUUGGUGACUGCACGGCUAGAGUGUGUCAGAGGGGGGUAGAAUUCCACGUGUAGCAGUGAAAUGCGUAGAGAUGUGGAGGAAUACCGAUGGCGAAGGCAGCCCCCUGGGAUAACACUGGCGCUCAUGCACGAAAGCGUGGGGAGCAAACAGG
rnacentral:rRNA from 1 species